UUAUUUUCUGUCUGUACAUUACAUGUGUGAUAUAUUUAUGAUUUUCCAGGGUUUCUGGAAGAUGAUGUUUGGACUCAAACACAAAACUCAGCAACAGAGCAGACAUACAAGCUGCUGCAGAGGAGUGAGCCCUGAAGACGAGAGUUAAUGCUCCUUCAUCUCUUUCACACCAACCUCUGAGGGAGAGAUGCUGACGAAGGUGGACCUGCUGAACAUUCUGGAGGAUUUGAUAGAGAAGGAAUUUGAGGACAAGUUCAAGUGGUUGCUAGAGGAUGAAAGUCUGGCAGGCUACCCAGCCAU